UAUGGCCAUGCCACCCUGAACAAGCUCAAUCCUGUCUGAUCUUGGAAGCUAAGCAGGGUCGGACCUGGUUAGUACUUAGAUGGGAGACCACCUAGGAAGACCAGAUGUAAAAAUAU
rnacentral:rRNA from 1 species